rnacentral:sRNA from 1 species
AUCACGUCCACGUUAUUGCGUUUGUACAUUACGUUCUCAAAUAUUUACCGUCGAAUAUCUCGAUUUUUUCAUUUUUGAUCGAUGCAGGUGACAUUUGCGGUUAGCAAAACAGAUGCAGCUCUGCAAAAUUAUUCUUAUCGGAAUACUUCAUAGAUUUAAGUUCGUUCGGCGUGUUUAUUUCUAGAACAUAUUUUUGUGAUUUGGUGAUUUAUCCCAUUUAGAAUUACAUAUAAAACAGUAACCACAUCUUAUGCAGAAUUUCAGGAUUUGUAUAAAAAUAAAUAAUAAUAGUUAAAAAAGGAAAUUAAAAACAAGAACCCCUAAUAAAGUCUAGAGUGUGUACUUUACAAAUUGCAUAAAAACACUUGUUAACUUGCGGCGAAAAAAUCACAUUUCUUUCCCAAAAUUGAAAAAAAAAAAAAUAACACAAAUCGCUAGCGAUUGUUUUGUAAAGAAGGGAAUUUGCUUUUAAAAGG